AUACGUGAGGCAGCAGUGGGGAAUAUUGCACAAUGGCAGAAAGCGUGAUGCAGUGACGCCGUGUGAGUGAAGAAGUCCUUCGGGAUGUAAACCUUAGUAUGCAAGGAAAAGAAGAAGAUGGUACUUGCAGAGUAAGCCUCGGCUAACUACGUGCCAGCAGCCGCGGUAAUACGUAGGUGGCGAGCGUUAUCCGGAUUUAUUGGGUGUAAAGGGUGUGUAGGCGGGAUGGCAAGUCAGAUGUGAAACUUAUGGGCUCAACCCAUAAACUGCAUCAGAAACUGCUGUUCUUGAGAGUCGGAGAGGUAAAUGGAAUUCCAGGUGUAGCGGUGAAAUGCGUAGAUAUCUGGAGGAACACCGGUGGCGAAGGCAAUUUACUGGACGACAACUGACGCUGAGACACGAAAGCGUGGGGAGCAAACAGGAUUAGAUACCCUGGUAGUCCACGCUGUAAACGAUGAACACUAGGUGUGGGGGAGCAAUCCUCCGUGCCCCAGUUAACACAAUAAGUGUUCCACCUGGGGAGUACGGCCGCAAGGUUGAAACUCAAAGGAAUUGACGGGGGCCCGCACAAGCGGAGGAACAUGUGGUUUAAUUCGAUGAUACGCGAGGAACCUUACCCGGGCUCGAACGGUAUGUGAACGACUCAGAGAUGAGGAGGUCCUUCGGGACACAUAUCGAGGUGCUGCAUGGUUGUCGUCAGCUCGUGUCGUGAGAUGUUGGCUUAAGUGCCAUAACGAGCGUAACCCUUGUCGUUAGUUACCAUCAAGUAAAGUUGGGGACUCUAACGAGACUGCCACCGCAAGGUGAGAGGAAGGCGGGGAUGACGUCAAAUCAGCACGGCCCUUACGUCCGGGGCGACACACGUGUUACAAUGGCGGUCACAGAGGGAAGCUACCCUGCGAAGGGAUGCAGAUCUCGAAAAGCCGUCUCAGUUCGGACUGGAGUCUGCAACUCGACUCCACGAAGCUGGAUUCGCUAGUAAUCGCGCAUCAGCCAUGGCGCGGUGAAUACGUUCCCGGGCCUUGCACACACCGCCCGU
rnacentral:rRNA from 1 species